GCCCGGGUAGACAAACUGGCAAAGUCCGCGCUCUUAAAAGGCGCUGCCCUUCGGGGCGUUGCGGGUUCGAGUCCCGCCCCGGGCA
rnacentral:tRNA from 1 species